rnacentral:rRNA from 1 species
AACGAACGCUGGCGGCAGGGUUAACACAUGCAAGUCGAGCGCCCCGCAAGGGGAGCGGCAGACGGGUGAGUAACGCGGGGGAAUCUACCCAUCACUACGGAAUAACGCAUGGAAACGUGUGCUAAUAACGUAUACGGCCUUCGAGAGAAAGAUUUAUCGGAGAUGGAUGAGCCCGAGUUGGAUUAGCUAGUUGGUGGGGUAAAGGCCUACCAAAGCGACGCUCCAUAGCUGGUCUGAGAGGAUGAUCCGCCACACUGGGACUGAGACACGGCCCAGACUCCUCCGUGAGGCAGCAUUGGAGAAUAUUGGACAAUGGGCGCCAGCCUGAUCCAGCCAUGCCGCGUGAGUGAUGAAGGCCCUCGCGUUGUAACGCUCUUUCACCGGUGAAGAUAAUGACGUUAACCGGAGAAGAAGCCCCGGCUAACUUCGUGCCAGCAGCCGCGGUAAUAC